GAUGAACGCUGACAGAAUGCUUAACACAUGCAAGUCUACUUGAAUUUGGGUUUUUUAACUUCGAUUUGGGUGGCGGACGGGUGAGUAACGCGUAAAGAACUUGCCUCACAGUUAGGGACAACAUUUGGAAACGAAUGCUAAUACCUGAUAUUAUGAAUAUAUGGCAUCAUAUAAUUAUGAAAGCUAUAAGCGCUGUGAGAGAGCUUUGCGUCCCAUUAGCUAGUUGGAGAGGUAACGGCUCACCAAGGCGAUGAUGGGUAGCCGGCCUGAGAGGGUGAACGGCCACAAGGGGACUGAGACACGGCCCUUACUCCUACGGGAGGCAGCAGUGGGGAAUAUUGGACAAUGGACCAAGAGUCUGAUCCAGCAAUUCUGUGUGCACGAUGACGUUUUUCGGAAUGUAAAGUGCUUUCAGUUGGGAAGAAAAAAAUGACGGUACCAACAGAAGAAGUGACGGCUAAAUACGUG
rnacentral:rRNA from 1 species